CCUACGGGUGGCUGCAGUGGGGAAUAUUGCACAAUGGCGGAAACGCUGAUGCAGCAACGCCGCGUGAAGGAAGACGGUGUUCGGAUUUUAAACUUCUGUUUUUAGUGAAGAAUAAUGACGGUAGCUAACCUGCAAGCCACGGCUAACGACGUGCCAGCAGGCGGGGUAAUUCGUAGGUGGCAAGCGUUGACCGGAAUUACUGGGUGUAAAGGGAGUGCAGGCGGGAAGCCAAGUCAGCUGUGAAAACUACGGGCUUAACUUGUAGACCGACGUUGAAACUGGUUUUCUUGAGUGAAGUAGAGGUAGGCGGAAUUCCGAGUGUAGCGGUGAAAUGCGUAGAUAUUCGGCAGAACACCGGUGGCGAAGGCGGCCAACUGGGCUUUAACUGACGCUGAGGCUCGAAAGUGUGGGGAGCAAACAGGAUUAGAUACCCGGGUAGUC
rnacentral:rRNA from 1 species